rnacentral:rRNA from 1 species
UGGCGGACGGGUGGAGUAAUGUCUGGGAAACUGCCUGAUGGAGGGGGAGUAACUACUGGAAACGGUAGCUAAUACCGCAUAACGUCGCAAGACCAAAGAGGGGGACCUUCGGGCCUCUUGCCAUCGGAUGUGCCCAGAUGGGAUUAGCUAGUAGGUGGGGUAACGGCUCACCUAGGCGACGAUCCCUAGCUGGUCUGAGAGGAUGACCAGCCACACUGGAACUGAGACACGGUCCAGACUCCUACGGGAGGCAGCAUG